rnacentral:lncRNA from 1 species
GUGUUGGUUAAAAUGGAUGUCAAGUAUAAACUUUGAAAUCAUAACGGUUUUUAAGAUAUAGAGCGGACACAAAGUUAAAGUGUUACGGACGGACGGACGGACAGAUGGACGGACGUACAGACGGACGGACGGACGGACAGACUGAUCACUAUAGGGCGACCCGCCUUAGUCGGCGGGGCCCUAAUUAGCUCUAACUAUAUU